CGGAACGGGUGAGUAACGCGUGAGGAACCUGCCUCAAAGAGGGGGAUAACAGUUGGAAACGACUGCUAAUACCGCAUAAGCCCACGGCUCGGCAUCGAGCAGAGGGAAAAGGAGUGAUCCGCUUUGAGAUGGCCUCGCGUCCGAUUAGCUAGUUGGUGAGGUAACGGCCCACCAAGGCGACGAUCGGUAGCCGGACUGAGAGGUUGAACGGCCACAUUGGGACUGAGACACGGCCCAG
rnacentral:rRNA from 1 species